UAAUCAAUCUGGUGUUGUCUUUGCUCAGCGUGAUUAUUGUGGGAUCAGGCAUCUCUGAAAGAGGAAAAGUAUCUUGAUGACAUCUAUCAAAACUUCAAAUGGCCUGCAGCAUUUAUUUUGAAUGAAUUUAAAAUAUUUUUCUUAUGUAAAAGAAUCAUUUUAAAACCACACCUUAGCGGCAUCAGCUCAUCACACCACCACUGCAUUUAAGGCUGGACUGGCUCCUGAGUUUGUUGUUGUUGUUGUGUGUGGCUGGCAGCUGAUAAGCUGAAAAGCAUUGAAAUGUGGCCGGGUCUGUUGUGCAUCUGUUACAGUUUUAAAAAGUAAUGUAAAGUAACGCAAACUCCUCGAAAUAACAAAUAAUCGAAUCAUGUGAGAAUGAUCAAUGAGGGUCACAAAAUGUUACAAAGUCUCUUAAUUAAAGUUUAACUAUUUCAAAUUCUUCUGUGCAGCUAUAAUGUGUAUUUCCUCCUGUGUGAUCUGACAUCUGAACCUCAGAUUAUGAGAAGUCUUCUGUCUUCUUGUGAAUCUGUUGUUGUGGUGGGAGCAAAGAGACGUCACACAAAAUAAUGGAGAGGAGUAAUUUAAAUCAAAUAAAGCAUCAUAAUGAAAUGGUCAAAAAUGCAUUCUGUGAAAGGACAAAAUGCAUUAUGGGCCUAAACUAUGCUGACAACAUCAGGGCAGUGCAAUCCUAACCUCUGUGUGUGGUAUAAUAUAUUUAUUCUUUCUAUCUUUGUCUAAACUCAACAUCAGAUCAACCAAAGGCUCAAAUAACGUCUGAUAUGAGACACGUUCCAGUAGGGGGCAAUAUGACCCUGAAAUGUUCAGUGAACCCAUCAUCAUAUGGAUGGAAAUACUACUGGUACAGAGAUGAGAACUGGUCUGAACCCCUGACCCCACAAGAUGCAGUUUUCCACUCAAAUGGACAAAUCACAGUCUCACAGGAAGGACUCUACAGAUGCAGAGGAGGCAGAGGAAACCCAGUUUACUACACAGAGGACAGUGAGCCCUUCAACAUUGAUAAAAUGCUACGUCCAGUUCUUCAUUUCUUGUUCUGAUGAUCACGGGACUCAUUUCUGGAAUCAUAUUUAUUUUCCUCCUGUUCCUGUUCCUGUACAAAAAGAAAUGUUCUGCUGAUGACCCGAGGGUGAGUCAGGAUGAAAAUCAACAGCAAGUCUACUCCUCUCUUCUUCAUGGUGAGGAUUCUGUCUAUGAAACAAUCAGAGACUCUGGAAAUACUCAAAAUGCUGGGUGACCUGUGUGAUGUAGGUCCAGUGGGUCCUUCUUGUGGAAACUCAACAAUUCUUUCUAUCCAAAGUGGGCGAACUAUGAGAAGUGACAGUAGUUUGAUCAUCUCCUUUCCUCAUAACUGAAAACUUAUUCUCACUCUCAAACAUCAGACCUUUGUCAGGUCCCAUUCACUCAUAUUUGCCACCAUUCACGGACCCUCAAGUUGCAAACUAUGGGCACAAAUAUACAUUAACCUUUUCUAGUAAAGUAUUUAGUUUUAAUGUUUAGCUAAACAUCCGAAAUAUGUUUUAAAAGUGUUUCUCUGAUGUUUUGUUUUUAUAUUAUAUAUGUUUUAAUUUCUUACUAAUGUAAAAAAAAGUCCAUAUCCAAAAAUGACCAUGCAAACAUUAAAUAUAAGUGAGGCAACUCUCUAAAAGGUUCAUUAAUUACAUUACCUGUGUCAGUGUGUGAUUUUAUCCUUAACAUCGUACAAUAAGUUGUUAGAAAUCAUAUUAAAUACUAUAAUAUAGACUUAAUAGUGUCUUCUAUUGCAAAUGAGUGUUUCUAUUACAUAUUUAUGCUCUCAAUAAUCAAACCUUUUUUAUUGAAGCUUUUGUAUAACAUUUCAUGUAACAACAGAAAGUUUAAAAGGUGUUAUAUGUAGUAUUUGUAGUGUCUGAAAAUGUAGCUGUUGCUGUGUUACAGUAGAUACAAUGAGCAUAUUUUUACACAUUAGAUCUUCUACAUUAUCCCCAAAGUAAUGAAAAAUACUUACAAUAUUCAUAAAUACUGUAUGGAUUUGAAUGUAUAAUGUAUUUCAUGUCUAAUUUUUUUAAUUCAAAAUUACAAUACAUUUGUCUUUAUGAACCUGGAACAGCAAAUAAA